rnacentral:lncRNA from 1 species
GAUUCCAACCCCUGCGCAUGGCAUGGCCGCGGCGGCCUCACGGUUGGCUAGCGCCAAGUGUCCAUUACAGGGCACACGUUGCUUUUACAAUGCCAAGCCUUUAUUACAGCCAAAUCUUUGUUUUCUUGAGUAGUUGCCUUACCGCUUAGGGGUCGUUCAGACGGAGGGGUACCUGCAGGCAGGAAAGUUAGUGCUUGCUUCCGUGGGAGGGGGCGAGCCUGGUUACCGAGCGACUCUGCUUCUGAAGCCUGUAGAUUAGGCAGAAGCUGCAGCGGAAACCUGUCAGUAUGAACUCGCUAUGAACUCGCGAACUUGCUCUUUCCGUCGCACUCCUGCGACUUAUUCUAGCCCUGUACGGUCCAGCCGUACACACCCAGGACAUUCAACCGAGUACACGCUCGGCAAAUACACAGAAAACUUUUGUUUUCUUUCGUUUCGCUCAUAAAGCCUACAGUUACAGGCGCGAUAUCUGACGCGCAGCUCC